ACUUGGUGUAAAAGUUACAGCAAAUGUUUUUGUGCAGAACAUCAUCUUUUUGCCCCUGUGUUUGUAGGGAUUGCCAGUUGCAAUGUGAUCACACCGCCUAUUAGGAGAUGCCAGUCAGUCCAGUAGUGCAUCGUGUCUGCUGGACUGACUGGUGGUGUAAGUAUAUUUUCCUGUCAAUCUUCCAUAUUUGACUACUUUUAGUAUUGAAGUAUUCUUUGUGUAGAUGAGAAAAACAAAUACAGUCCAUUUGAUUUUACAUGACUGUCUUUUCUCCCUCUGUUUAUCUGUAUGUGUGUGUCUGAUGGAGUCCUACUACACAGAUGUGUACAGGUGACUCUGACAGGCAACAGGAAACUUUCAGAACUGACACUGAGUGAAAAGAGAGUGAUGCUGUGCUUUAUGGAAAGCAUCUCUCCAAAAUUGGAGGAGGCUGCGUUUGAAGAUCCUGAGUCUAGGUUUGCUGAGAUGGGAUUGCCAGUUGCAAUGUGAUCACACCGCCUAUUAGGAGAUGCCAGUCAGUCCAGUAGUGCAUCAUGUCUGCUGGACUGACUGGUGCUAUGUGUACAGAUGAUCCGGACUGGCAACAGGAAACUUUCAGAACUGACACUGAGUGACAAGAGAGUGAUGCUGUGUUUUCUGGAACGCAUCUCUCCAAAUUUGGAGGAGGCCACGUAUGAAGAUCCUGAGACUUUGUUUGCUGAGAUGGGAUUGCCAGUUGCCACAUGAUCACUCCAUGUAUUAGUAGAUGCCAGUCAGUCCAGUAGUGUAUCAUGUCUGCUGGACUGACUGGUGCUGUAAGUAUAUUUUCCUGUCAAUCUUCCAUAUUUGACUACUUUCAUUAUUUAAGUAUUCUUUGUGUAGAUGAGAAAAACAAAUACAGUCCAUUUGAUUUUACAUGACUGUCUUUUCUCCCUCUGUUUAUCUGUAUGUGUGUGUCUGAUGGAGUCCUACUACACAGAUGUGUACAGGUGACUCUGACAGGCAACAGGAAACUUUCAGAACUGACACUGAGUGAAAAGAGAGUGAUGCUGUGCUUUAUGGAAAGCAUCUCUCCAAAAUUGGAGGAGGCUGCGUUUGAAGAUCCUGAGUCUAGGUUUGCUGAGAUGGUGAGAACGUUGUCUUUAUAUGUGUUUGUACUUGGUGUAAAUGUUACAGCAAAUGUUUUUGUGCAGAACAUCAUCUUUUUUGCUCCUGUGUUUGUAGGGAUUGCCAGUUGCAAUGUGAUCACACCGCCUAUUAGGAGAUGCCAGUCAGUCCAGUAGUGCAUCAUGUCUGCUGGACUGACUGGUGCUGUAAGUAUAUUUUCCUGUCAAUCUUCCAUAUUUGACUACUUUCAUUACUUAAGUAUUCUUUGUGUAGAUGAGAAAAACAAAUACAGUCCAUUUGAUUUUACAUGUCUGUCUUUUCUCCCUCUGUUUAUCUGUA